CAAGUAAACAAGAUGAUCGCCUCGAUAUUCAUCGGGGAGGAAAGUCCGAACACCGUCCCGAUGACCAUCGGGACAGCAAGGCAGUCGCUAACGGCGACCGGGAGAAAGAUAGUUAGGAGUCCUGCAGACUUUUAGCUGGCUUGAAUCUUAGGGAAAGUGCCGCAGAGACAAUACUAGUCCCGAUCUGAUCCUGCCUACCGGCAGGCAGAUGGGAGCAAAGGUGAAAAGAAAUGGGAUGUUAGCAUGAUAGCUACCCAUUUGAUCUCAUGGUGACAUGGGAAUCUGGUAAACCCUGCCUGGUGCAAGACCAAAAUGUAGGUCGCUUGAUCCCAUUAGCAAUGAUGGGACCAGAUAGAUGAUCAUCGCCCCGUAUCACUCAAAUCCGAAAUGGUACGAGGUACUAAAUUCGGCUUAUUGUUUGCUUGAGCU
rnacentral:RNase_P_RNA from 1 species